GAUGAGCGCUGGCGGCGUGCCUAAUACAUGCAAGUCGAGCGAACGGACGAGAAGCUUGCUUCUCUGAUGUUAGCGGCGGACGGGUGAGUAACACGUGGAUAACCUACCUAUAAGACUGGGAUAACUUCGGGAAACCGUAGCUAAUACCGGAUAAUAUUUUGAACCGCAUGGUUCAAAAGUGAAAGACGGUCUUGCUGUCACUUAUAGAUGGAUCCGCGCUGCAUUAGCUAGUUGGUAAGGUAACGGCUUACCAAGGCAACGAUGCAUAGCCGACCUGAGAAGGUGAUCGGCCACACUGGAACUGAGACACGGUCCAGACUCCUACGGGAGGCAGCAGUAGGGAAUCUUCCGCAAUGGGCGAAAGCCUGACGGAGCAACGCCGCGUGAGUGAUGAAGGUCUUCGGAUCGUAAAACUCUGUUAUUAGGGAAGAACAUAUGUGUAAGUAACUGUGCACAUCUUGACGGUACCUAAUCAGAAAGCCACGGCUAACUACGUG
rnacentral:rRNA from 1 species